GAACUGAAGAGUUUGAUCCUGGCUCAGAUUGAACGCUGGCGGCAUGCCUUACACAUGCAAGUCGAACGG
rnacentral:rRNA from 2 species